GGUAGGGUGGAGUGAGUAGAUGGCUCGUGUUGCUUUAUUUCCUCCAUUGUAGCUAUUCAUUCAUUUGGAUGCGGUCGUAGCGCGAUUAUUAUUAUUCUUGGUUGUAGAAAGAAAGAGAAUGAAGGAGGAUUAGGUAUGUAGUAGUACUAGUAGGUGGCUAACUCGCUAUAUAGUAUCUGGGUUCUCAUUCCUGUGAAUGAUGUAUUAUAUUUAUGUUGUUGCAUUUAUAUGUACUAUAUCUAUCUAUCUAUCUAUCAAUCAUAUGUCAGUUUGCCUUUCUGUGUAAAGGAAGGAACAAAUAUAGGUAUGGAUGAAUUGUCUUUUUUUGGUAGAUCUUAACGGAUGGCUACUGAAUUUUGUUAGCAACCUAUAAACUGUGUACGGCCAACAGUUUCUCGUUAUAUAUACCGUGCCGCUCGUCCCACCUGUAUCCUCGUCUGCGCAUUCUCUCUCGCUCGCCUUCUCAAUUUCUCUCACUCUAUCUCUGCAUCAUCGCCAAUGGCGCCGCCGGUGAGCCAACACGCCAAGGAGAAGGUGCCGCUCUGCAACGACGACCUCGCCCCAAGCAGCGACGACGAGGACCCCUACGCGCCACCGGACUUGGUCGCGCCUGAUCCCCCCACCGAGGAGUGGUUUUGGAGUCAGUUCGACCUCGCUCUGUGGAAGACGUUGCCGCCGGCUGAAAAAGCCAGGCGUGUGGCGGUCAUGAAGGCGGACGAGAAGAAGCGCGAGGAGGAAGAGGCGGCUAAGGCCGCCCGGAAGGUGGAGGAGUUGGAGCUCUGGCGGGAGGCGCGUUGGCACGCGCAGGAGGUUGAUGAAGACGGCCGCUUCAACGCCAAGAGGGCCAGAGGCUCUUUGCGCCUCCUCGUUGCAUGGAGGUGGGCAGAUCGCGUCGAGAAGGCCACCGAUGAAGAGCUCACCUACGCGUCGUCUACAAUGGCCAGGGCGGAGGCCUACGCCCGCCGGGAAGCUGCCGAUGCGCAUGUUGCGGAGUGCGAGGCGGAGGAGGAGGCUAUCUCCCUCCGCGCUGGGAAGCCGGUGCGCACCAGGGAGUCCGUGGCCAAACGCAAGGAAAGGGCCCUUAGGAGGGACUAUUGAUUUUUAGUUAAUUUAUUACUUGUCUUUAAAUUUAAUGUAUUUAUAGCACAACAAUUAUCAUCACACACGUAUGUGUGUGAUAAUAUAUAUUAUGUAAUGAACUGGAUUGUGGAGUAUUAUUGAUGAAUUUCUAUCUUAUUUACCUACUCGAUGUCUCAUUUUUUUAGUAAAACUACCUAUUCUGAGAAUAUAUUUACACUGAUGUCAAUCAGGCAUGUUUUCGAAGAGUUAAUUAUCUGUGAUUUGGGCUAAAAAACACAUGAGGUGGCAUGAUCUGUACAGAUGUUCUAUGCAAAAUAGUUGUUUUUGAAACUUCAAACAUCACACACAAUUGCUUUCUAACAAUUGUGUGAAUUGUAUUGCAUGCGGAGUACCUAACGAAGUUCUAUGUGACUUGUUGUUAUCAUCACACAUAAUUCCAUAACUCGACCCCAACCAGGUUUAGCCCACGACCUCUCAAAACGGACUGUGUGUAACGUCAUUGAUGCGGCUAUAUCUCCUACGUGUCGAAGCAUGACUUAGAGGCAUAACCGCAUUGAAAGCAAUGUCGCAAGUAAGGCAAUCUUCACAACAUCCCAUGUAAAUAAAUAAUAAAAGGGGAAGCUAUAUAGUUGGCUUACACUCGCCACGUCAAACAAAGUACAUAUAUAGUAUUACAUCAUCCAAUCACUCAUGGCCCGACUACGGUGCCAAAAUAAAAGACCAACCCAACAUGCGACACGGUCCCGAUCGCCCCAACUGGGCACCACUACUGAUCAUCAGGGAAAGACACAUAGUAACGGCAUGAGUCCUCGUUGAACUCCCACUUGAGCUCAAGCGCGUCAUUUGGAACGGAGUCGUCUGGCCCUGCAUCUGGUUUGGAAGUAAUCUGUGAGCCACAGGGACUCAGCAAUCUCGCACCCUCGCAAUCAAGACUAUUUAAGCUUAUAGGUAAGGCAAGGUAAAAAUGUGGAGCUGCAGCAAGCGACUAGCAUAUAUGGUGGCUAACAUGUUCGCAAAAGAGAGCGAGAAGAGAAGGCAAAGCGCGAACGCAUACCUAGAGAACAACCUGCGGCAAGCAUUACUCCAACACCGUGUUCACUUCCUGGACUCCGCCGAGAAGAGACCAUCACGGUAACUCACACAGUUGAUUCAUUUUAAUUAAGUUAAGGUUCAAGUUAUCUACAACCGGACAUUAACAAAUUCCCAUCUGCCCAUAACCGCGGGCACGGCUUUCGAAAGUUCAAAUCCCUGCAGGGGGUCCCAACUUAGCCCAUGACAAGCUCUCACGGUCAACGAAGGAUAUUCCUUCUAGCGGGAAGACCCGAUCAGACUCGGAAUCCCGGUUACAAGACAUUUCGAUAAGGUAAAACUAAACCAGCAACACCGCCCGAAUGUGCCGACAAAUCCCGAUAGGAGCUGCACAUAUCUCGUUCUUAGGGCACACUCAGAUUGUCUUACGUACGGGUAGGCCAGCCCAAAGUUGCCCCUGGUGGCCACCGGUAGCUGACAGGUUGGACCAACACUCAGAGGAGCACUGGCCCGGGGGGGGGGGGUUAAAAUAAGAUGACCCUCGGGCUCCGGAAACCCAAGGGAAAAAGAGGCUAGGUGGCAAAUGGUAAAACCAAGGUUGGGCAUUGCUGGAAGAGAUUUAUUCAAGGCGAACUGUCAAGGGGUUCCCGUUAUCACCCAACCGCGUAAGGAACGCAAAAUCCGGGAACAUAACACCGAUAUGACGGAAACUAGGGCAGCAAGAGUGGAACAAAACACUAGGCGAGAGGCCGAGCCUUCCACCCUUUACCAAGUAUAUAGAUGCAUUAAGAUAACAAGAUAAUAUAAUGAUAUCCCAACAAGAAAAUAAUGUUCCAACAAGGAACGGUCUCCAAUCUUCACCUGCAACUAGCAACGCUGUAAGAGGGGCUGAGCAAAGCGGUAACAUAGCCAAUCAACGGUUUGCUAGGACAUGGUGGGUUAGAGGUUUGACAUGGCAAUUUGAGAGGCAUGAUAAGCAAGUGGUAGGCAUCGUAGCAUAGGCAUAGCAAAAGAGCGAGCAUCUAGCAAAGCAAAGAUAGAAGUGAUUUCGAGGGUAUGAUCAUCUUGCCUGCAAAGUUGUUAGAGUUGACUGGAUCCUCGAAAGCAAACUCAACGGGCUCCUCGUUAGCGAACUCGUCUCCCGGCUCUACCCAAAGAAGACAAACAAGCAAACGGAACACAAUCAACCACGUGCAAACUCAAACAACAUGAUGCAAACAUGGUAUGCUAUGCGGGAUGCGACAUGUGAUGCAUAUGCAAGAUUUUACAAGAGAUGAAUGAACCUGGCCUCAACUUGGAAAUCCAAGUGUGCCACUGGAAAGGUGAGGUGAUUUCGGUUGAAAUCGAUAUAAAGAACGCCGGAAUCGGAUGUAUGGUUUGGAAAUGGCAAGCAAUUCAAAUAUGGCACCGGUCUGCGAUAUACAGCAAGUAGCCAUCUAAAUGCAACAAGUUAAACAUGCUACAACACCCAAACAUGGCAACAAAAUACAUGGCAGGGGUCCAUUCAUGAUGCUUAACAAAAUAUGAACACUAAGCUACGGCCAAUUCAUCCAUUAACAGGUUCAAACAAGCAUGGCAAAAAUGCAAUUGGUAAACAGAUUUCAGACUUAGUGAAAUUAACACUUGUCUGGAAUUUGAGAUCAGGUAGCACACUUUGGAGCAUGAAAAUUAGAUGCUACAGGAACUUAACAUGGCAAAGUAAAGCAUGGCAUGGAUCUACUCAAAGAGCUUAACAAAAGUCCCUUAGUGAUCUUGAGUCAAAAGGGAUCCGAAAAUAUAAUUGCAAGCAUGUGAACAUGGCAAAAACAUAAUCAGAUCACAGACUUAGAGAAAAACUGGAGCAUGCAAAUCAGAUAUCAAGUAGGCAUAUUUACGAGCUCGAUGCACUCACUACAGAGCAAGGCAUGACAAUCUAAGCAUACACCCACCAAGAAUACACAUUAUACAAGCUAGACAUGACAAGAACAAUGACAUAGCAUGCAUGGAUCAACUACAACAUCCUCGGCAGAAUCGCUAACAAGUAGACAAUCUGCCCAGAUUCACGAAAUAGCAAAAGUAGAGCUCGAUUGACUCAAUCUAGGGUGCUCCAUAAUUGCAAACAAAUACAUGGAUGGAUAGAGCACUACAAGAUUAACAAAUCAUCCUUAUUGGUCAUCCUCAAAAGAGGCACGGAUCACUAGGAAACAACAUGAACAUAUGGCAUAUUGAUCAAAACAGUCCAAGGACUUAGUGGAAUUGCUAAGUCCCUGAAAUCAGCAUUAACGAAUGCACCACUUUGCAAGCUUGUGCUAGUCACCACACACACCACAAAAAUACAUGGGGAAAGAUGACAAGACAUAUAACAAAAUACAUGUAGAGCUCAGGGGCAUAUCAUGCACACAAUAAUCAUGGCAAACAUGACAAAUAGCUAUUUGGAGCAGCAGAUCUGACAAUUAACUCAAAUAGCACUCUUCCAACAACAUUUCGGGCAUCAAGAUGAACUCAGAUGAAAAUGAUGCAAUGAGAUGAAAUGAUAUACUCUCUGAGAUGAACAUUUUGAUAUGCUAUAUGCCCAAAACGGAUAUACGGAUGCAAAGUUACAGCACGAUGAACAUGGCAAUAUAAUUAGGGUUUUCUGAGAAAAAGUCAACCGAGGAGAGAUUCUCAGAUCUGGAUCCGGAUCGGUGCGGAAGUCGAGGUUGGCCGGAAAAUACUGUAGCUUACCGGAGUUCUUCGUGGAGGAGGCCGGAGCUCGCCGGAGGAGCUUGCCGGCUGGAUCUGGGCGAGGGGACGGCGACGGCGAGGCCGGUCGGCGCCGUAGCAAUGGGCGGCGAGGGCGUCUGCGGCAGGGCGGCGACNNNNNNNNNNNNNNNNNNNNNNNNNNNNNNNNNNNNNNNNNNNNNNNNNNNNNNNNNNNNNNNNNNNNNNNNNNNNNNNNNNNNNNNNNNNNNNNNNNNNNNNNNNNNNNNNNNNNNNNNNNNNNNNNNNNNNNNNNNNNNNNNNNNNNNNNNNNNNNNNNNNNNNNNNNNNNNNNNNNNNNNNNNNNNNNNNNNNNNNNNNNNNNNNNNNNNNNNNNNNNNNNNNNNNNNNNNNNNNNNNNNNNNNNNNNNNNNNNNNNNNNNNNNNNNNNNNNNNNNNNNNNNNNNNNNNNNNNNNNNNNNNNNNNNNNNNNNNNNNNNNNNNNNNNNNNNNNNNNNNNNNNNNNNNNNNNNNNNNNNNNNNNNNNNNNNNNNNNNNNNNNNNNNNNNNNNNGGCGAUGUGGGGCUCAGGGCGACACAUGGCGCGCAGCGGUAGGUCCGGGCGAGCGGCGGACAGUGUCCGGCCGGCACGGACGUGUCCGGCGCGGCGCGGUAGACUUUUUAGGGUUUGAGACGAGGGGAAUCCGGGAUAUCGGAAGAGGGGCUAUUUAUAGGCAUAGAGGGAGCUAGAAGUGUCCAAACGAGGUGCGGUUUUCGGCCACGCGAUCGUGAUCGAACGCUCUAGAUGAUGAAGAGGGUUUUGGGCCAAAAUGGAGGGGUGUUGGGCUGCAACACACACGAGGCCUUCUCGGUCCCUCGGUUAACCGUUGGAACAUCAAACGAAGUCCAAAUGGUACGAAACUUGACAGGCGGUCUACCGGUAGUAAACCAAGUCCACUUGGCAAGUCUCGGUCCAAUCCGGAAAUGUUUAACCCCCACACACGAAAGAAAGGUAGAAAUAACCACCGGAGGAGAACGGAGCGCCGGAAUGCAAAACGGACAACGGGGAAAAUGCUCGGAUGCAUGAGAUGAACACGUAUGCAAAUGCAAUGCACAUGAUGACAUGAUAUGAGAUGCAUGACAAUGACAACAACACACGGAGACAAAAACCCGAACCCGAGAAAAUAAAAUAACUUAACGCCGGAAACGGCAAGAGUUGGAUUACAUAUUAGGUAAAUCAUAUCCGGGGUGUUACAACACUCCACCACUAUGAGAGGAUCUCGUCCCGAGAUCUAGGACUGGAAGAACGUCGGGUACUCAGAACGGAGGUGAUCCUCGCGUUCCCAGGUGGCUUCACAGUCGGAAUGGUGUGACCACUUGACUUUGAGGAAUUUGAUUGACUUAUUGCGAGUCUUGCGUUCGGUCUAUUCAAGAGUAGCAACGGGGUGCUCACGAUAAGAGAGAUCUUCUUGGAGAUCAAUGUCUUCGAAGUUGACGGUGCGUUCAGGAGUCUUGAAGCACUUGCGGAGCUGAGAGACAUGGAACACGUCAUGCACAUUUGCAAAGUUUGAAGGAAGCUUGAGUUGAUAGGCGAGAUCGCCUCUCUUGUUGACGAUCUUGAAAGGUCCCACGUAUUUAGGGGCAAGCUUCCCUUUGAUACCGAAGCGACGAGUACCUUUUGUAGGAGAGACGCGGAGGUAAACAUGAUCUCCGAUCUCGAAAGCCAAAUCACGGUGCUUACUAUCAUAGUAGCUCUUCUGGCGCGAUUGUGCUGCUUUGAGGUUAUCUCGAAUGACUUUGCACAUUUCCUCUGCCUCUGUGAUUAAGUCAUUUCCGAGAAGUUGACGUUCACCGGUUUCAGACCAGUUGAGAGGGGUACGGCACUUCCUGCCAUACAGAAUUUCGAAUGGGGCCUUUCCCGAACUUGCUUGAAAACUGUUGUUGUAGGAGAAUUCAGCAUAUGGAAGACAAUCUUCCCACUUCAUGCCGAAGGAAAUCACACAAGCCCUGAGCAUAUCUUCGAGAAUCUGGUUGACACGCUCAACUUGACCGCUAGUUUGAGGAUGGAAAGCUGUGCUGAAGCGGAUGUUGGUGCCCAUGGCCUUCUGAAAAGAAUCUCAAAACUUGGAGGUAAAGAUGCUGCCACGGUCUGAAGAGAUCACCUAUGGAAUACCAUGCAGCGAGACAAUCUGAGAGGUGUACAGCUCCGCCAAUUGAGCUGCAGUGAUUGACUCUUUGAUAGGCAGAAAGUGAGCCACUUUAGUGAGUUUGUCGAUAACAACGAAUAUAGCAUCAUUGCCACGCUUGGACUUUGGAAACCCAGUCACGAAGUCCAUCUCAAUGUGCUCAAACUUCCAUUUUGAAAUGGCAAGAGGUUGGAGGAGACCCGCUGGCCUUUGGUGUUCUGCCUUCACUCUUCUGCAGACAUCACACUCAUUCACGAACUGAGCAAUCUCGCGCUUCAUUCGAGUCCACCAAUAAGCUUGCUUGAGGUCCUGAUACAUCUUCGUGCUCCCAGGGUGGAUGGAGAUGAGUGAAUUGUGAGCCUCGUUCAUGUUAACCUUACGAAGAUCACCUUUGGGCACAACAAUACGAUCCUCGAAGAAGAGAGUAUCCUUGUCAUCAAGGCGGUAGCACUUGUACUUGGGUUGGCUCUUGGCAAUCCCAAUCUUCACCUUCUUCACCAUAGCGUCAACAAGCUGGGCUUGGCGAAUCAGGUCUUCCAAGGUAGGAGAGACUUGAAGGUUGGCGAGGAAACCUUGAGGAACAACUUACAAAUUGAGUUUGCGGAAAGCUUCACAAAGCUCGGGUUGGUAAGGCUUGAGAAUCAGACUGUUGCAAUAAGCCUUCCUGCUCAAAGCGUCAGCAAUCACAUUGGCCUUGCCUGGAGUAUACUCGAUACUCUUGAAUCAUUUCGACCCAUCGAGUCUGCCUGAGGUUGAGAUUAGGCUGAGUGAAGAUGUGCUUGAGACUCUUGUGGUCAGUGAAGAUGUCCACUUUUCUUCCCAAUAAGAGAUGUCUCCAAGUCAAAAGAGCAUGCACAACUGCCGCCAACUCGAGGUCAUGAGUGGGGUAGUUCUUCUCGUUGGGCUUCAACUGGCGCGAGGUAUAAGCCACAACUUUCUUCUCUUGCAUCAACACUGCACCGAGACCUUGAAGAGAGGCAUCGCAGAAGACCUCGAACGGUUUGGAUUCAUCAGGAGGAGUUUCUCUUUCAAAGUGUUGAAAGCAAUGUCACAUUCCGGAGACCAAACGUACUUGACGUGCUUCUGGAGAAGAUUUGAGAGAGGCUUCGCGAUCUUUGAAAAGUUUUCAACGAACCUUCGAUAGUAGCUUGCGAGACCGAGGAAGCUACGGAGUUGCUUCACGUUCUGAGGUGGUUCCGAAUUCACAAUUGCAGACACCUUCUCAGGAUUCACCGCAAUGCCCUUGGCAGAGAUGAUAUGCCCAAGAUAAAGAAUGUCAUCGAGCCAAAAUUCACACUUUGAGAACUUGGCGUAGAACUGGUGUUCCCUGAGCUUAUCAAGCACCAAACACAAGUGCUUGGCAUGAUCUUCCUUGUUCUUCGAAAAGACCAGAAUGUCGUCGAGAUAGACCAAAACGAAGUCAUUGGUGUAGGCGUUGAAGAUGAAGUUCAUCAUGCGAGAGAAAGUCGGAGGAGCGUUGAUGAGGCCAAAAGACAUGACAGUGUAUUCAUAUGAACCAUAGCUUGUUUUGAAAGCCGUCUUGGGAAUAUCUUGCUCACGGAUUCAAAUCCGGUGAUAACCCAUGCGGAGAUCAAGCUUGGAGAAUACUUGGGCACCUUUGAGUUGUUCGAACAGCUCGUUGAUGUUGGGAAGUGGGUACUUGUUCUUGAUAGUCUUCUUGUUCAAUGGACGGUAGUCAACACAAAGUCGGUCCGUUCCAUCCUUCUUCUUCACAAAAAGAACUCCACAACACCACGGAGAGGAACUAGGUCGAAUGAGACCCAUUUGCUCUUCAAUAUCGAGUUGCUUCUUCAGCUCCUUCAACUCUUCAGGUCCGAGCUUGUAGGGACGCUUGCAAACCGGUUCCGUGCCAGGCUCAAGAUCGAUGGCGAAUUCAACUGGCCGGUGCGGAGGCAUUCCUGGAAGCUCUUCUGAAAAGACGUCUUGAUAUUCGCAAACGACUGAAAUUUGCGAGAUGGCAUACAGUUCACCCUUCUCGUUGAGAGAAAACUUUGGCAACAUGAGCAGGAUUCGUUCACGCUAACACAUACAUAGUAACAAUGAGUGUCUCUCAGCCGAGAACAAUCUAAGGAUUUGGCAAUGGAACAUGGUCUCACGGGAGGAUAAUUGAAGAAGGGGCAACACGAGCGUCGAAGAAGUUGGCAACAUGAGCAGUGUCAUUUUACAUAGAAUUGACACUUUGAAGCUGGAAAUGAUGGAGAUUAAUCACAAGAUGGCAAAGAUAUCUAGUUUAUCAAGACGUGGUGGCUCCUAAUGAUCUUUGUAUUGAUGUUGUUUGUGCUUGUUGGUUUUGUCCCUCAUAAGUGGUGUUAGUUAUCAGCAGUACCUUAUAAGUGUCACAUGUUAUUGGCCUGCAAUAGUAAGCUACAGUGUGCCUACAGGGCCCAAAAUGCUACAUUGGCCGAAGAAAGCAUUGUGCACGCUCCAAGCCUAACCAGAAGCAUUGUGCGACCCCAGUUUUGACAUGCUACGUGCUCAAACUAGCAGGAUCAAGGCGACACGACCCCAAUUUUGACAUGUGACGUGCUCAAACUAGCAGAAUCAAGGCGACACGACCCCAAUUUUGCAUUCUGAUGGAAUCUUGUGUUAAUAAUGGUCAACUGAUGGAAUCUUGCAUUCUGCAGGUCACGGGAUAGCAUCGUGCUCAUACUGCGGCUCUUCAGAAUGAAGGUGCGGGCAUUUUUGUUUUAUCUCUUUAACGUGCUUCGGUUUGUGUUUGCUACACCGAAUCGAGGCACACUUGAAGUUAAUGCUGGCAUGUGCUUUUUUUGUGUGGCAUGUGAUGGAACUGAAAUGAAGAUGUUGACGCGUUCUGUUUGUGUGCAGGCCGUCGAGAAGAGCAAAGGAAGGAAGAAGGGCAUCUUCUUCAAGUAGCUAUUCAUUGUAGCUAUUCAUUCAUUUGGAUGCGGUCGUAGCGCGAUUAUUAUUAUUCUUGGUUGUAGAAAGAAAGAGAAUGAAGGAGGAUUAGGUAUGUAGUAGUACUAGUAGGUGGCUAACUAGCUAUAUAGUAUCUGGGUUCUCAUUCCUGUGAAUGAUGUAUUAUAUUUAUGUUGUUGCAUUUAUAUGUACUAUAUCUAUCUAUCUAUCUAUCAAUCAUAUGUCAGUUUGCCUUUCUGUGUAAAGGAAGGUACAAAUAUAGGUAUGGAUGAAUUUUGUCUUUUUUUUGGUAGAUCUUAACGGAUGGCUACUGAAUUUUGUUAGCAACCUAUAAACUGUGUACGGCCAACAGUUUCUCGUUAUAUAUACC
rnacentral:lncRNA from 1 species